UGGGGAAUUUUGGACAAUGGGCGAAAGCCUGAUCCAGCAAUGCCGCGUGUGUGAAGAAGGCCUUCGGGUUGUAAAGCACUUUUGUCCGGAAAGAAAUCCUUGGCUCUAAUACAGUCGGGGGAUGACGGUACCGGAAGAAUAAGCACCGGCUAACUACGUGCCAGCAGCCGCGGUAAUACGUAGGGUGCAAGCGUUAAUCGGAAUUACUGGGCGUAAAGCGUGCGCAGGCGGUUUGCUAAGACCGAUGUGAAAUCCCCGGGCUCAACCUGGGAACUGCAUUGGUGACUGGCAGGCUAGAGUAUGGCAGAGGGGGGUAGAAUUCCACGUGUAGCAGUGAAAUGCGUAGAGAUGUGGAGGAAUACCGAUGGCGAAGGCAGCCCCCUGGGCCAAUACUGACGCUCAUGCACGAAAGCGUGGGGAGCAAACAGGAUUAGAUACCCUGGUAGUCCACGCCCUAAACGAUGUCAACUAGUUGUUGGGGAUUUAUUCCUUAGUAACGUAGCUAACGCGUGAAGUUGACCGCCUGGGGAGUACGGUCG
rnacentral:rRNA from 1 species